rnacentral:rRNA from 1 species
CCCUUAGAUGUCCGGGGCCGCACGCGCGCUACACUGAAGGAAUCAGCGUGGCUCUGUCCCUGGUCCGAAAGGAUUGGGAAACCCGUUAAACCUGCAUCGUGAUAGGGAUAGAUUAUUGCAAUUAUCAAUCUUGAACGAGGAAUUCCUAGUAAACGCAAAUCAUCAAUUUGCAUUGAUUACGUCCCUGCCCUUUGUACACACCGCCCGUCGCACCUACCGAUUGAAUGAUCCGGUGAAGCCUCGGGAUUGUGGCCAGUUCACUUUAUUGGGAGUUGGCUGUGAGAACUUGUCUAAACCUUAUCAUUUUAGAGGAAGGUGAAGUCGUANCA